AGGCCGGCUUGAGCCACGAUAAGCAGAUGCAGAUAGUGGUUGGUGAAAUAAUGCAGGAACUGCCGAAGGCACAUCACGGAAGACAAAACAGAAUCUAAACAAGCUGAAGACCUGGCUCGCUUCCAAUAUCCUCGAGUGUUCCCCGACUUGUUGACAUAAUGAUGUGCCAUACGAAGCCAAUCCGAUUCUGCUUCCCAAUUCGGACUGCUAGUGUGAUCGCGGUUGUGGCCGUUAUGUGAAAACCACAUCGCUGUCCGCACAUUAACAUGACUGGUAACAUUGGUGAGAACUGUCCGGCCCGUCCGGACAGUGGCUUCGACUAUUCCACCCAGAGCUAAACCGGAUACGAGGCGCAAAAAAACUGAUUCUGAAAGAAGGCCCGAGAUGGCAGAAGGCGUUCAGAGAUGAGGGAUUCCAAAAGUUUGCUUCGAAAAAUAUCAGCAGCUAGGUGAUGCAUUUCAGCAGUCCAAAAGGAAUCCAAUGAGCCAGCUCAGACAUCCAGCGCGAGAUGAAGAAGGUUCCGACUGAUAAUAUCAACCAAUUUGUGGCUCCCGACGGUGCCGAGGCAACUUGAUUGCUAGCAUUUUUCCCUGCAGUUUUAUAUCCCGUACAGGUAAAAUCCCUUAUUUAUACGCGGUAACUGGAGGAAGCAAUCGGUAGUUGAAGGGCCAUCCCAUGCAUGAACCAAUCAAUGGUUGCUGUUCCAGAUCGCUGAUGACGGC